rnacentral:rRNA from 1 species
AUUGAACACUGGCGGCAUGCCUUACACAUGCAAGUCGAACGGUAACGGGCCUUCGGGUGCCGACGAGUGGCGAACGGGUGAGUAAUACAUCGGAACGUGCCCGAUCGUGGGGGAUAACGAGGCGAAAGCUUUGCUAAUACCGCAUACGAUCUACGGAUGAAAGCAGGGGACCGCAAGGCCUUGCGCGGGCGGAGCGGCCGAUGGCAGAUUAGGUAGUUGGUGGGAUAAAAGCUUACCAAGCCGACGAUCUGUAGCUGGUCUGAGAGGAUGAUCAGCCACACUGGGACUGAGACACGGCCCAGACUCCUACGGGAGGCAGCAGUGGGGAAUUUUGGACAAUGGGCGCAAGCCUGAUCCAGCCAUGCCGCGUGCAGGAUGAAGGCCUUCGGGUUGUAAACUGCUUUUGUACGGAACGAAAAGCCUUCUUUUAAUACAGGAGGGUCAUGACGGUACCGUAAGAAUAAGCACCGGCUAACUACGUG